UACGAAGGGGGCUAGCGUUGUUCGGAAUUACUGGGCGUAAAGCGUGCGCAGGCGCUUCUCAAGUCAGGGGGUGAAAGCCCAGAGCUCAACUCUGGAAUUGCCUUUGAGACUGAGGGGCUUGAGUACGAGAGAGGUGAGUGGAAUUCCCAGUGUAGAGGUGAAAUGCGCAGAUAUCAGGAGGAACACCGAUGGCGAAGGCAGGUCUCUGGGCCAUAACGUG
rnacentral:rRNA from 1 species